GUCCACUGAACCUUAUCAUUUAGAGGAAGGAGAAGUCGUAACAAGGUUUCCGUAGGUGAACCUGCGGAAGGAUCAUUGUCGAGACCCGAAUGGACGAUUGUGAACCCGUCGAUGCUCCGGUGAGAGGCGGAGGGAGGACGGCACCCGCUCGCCCGACCCCGCCACUCCGGAUGCCCCAUGGCCGCCCUCGCCCUGCCUCGCAGCGGGACGGGCGGCGGAAACAAAGACCCGGCGCGGUGGGCGCCAAGGAAUAGUGAUGUCGGAGAGCGCCGCGCGUCGGUUUUGUACGUGCGGCGUGACCCUUCCAUACAUACGUCAAACUUUUAUGACUCUCGGCAACGGAUAUCUUGGCUCUCGCAUCGAUGAAGAACGUAGCGAAAUGCGAUACUUGGUGUGAAUUGCAGAAUCCCGUGAACCAUCGAGUUUUUGAACGCAAGUUGCGCCCGAGGCCAUCCGGCCGAGGGCACGCCUGCUUGGGCGUCACGCCUCGCGUCGCUCCGCACGCCCCGCCCCCCGGACCGGGAGGUGGCGGGCGCGGAUGCGGAGACUGGCCCCCCGUGCCUCGCGGUGCGGCGGGCUGAAGUGAGGGCCGCCGGUCGGGACGGAUGCGGCGAGUGGUGGACGGACACGAACGGCGCUCAGCGUUGCCUCCGCCUCCCGAUCCUAGCGGCCCAUCAAGGAACCCAUGCCGUCGGGCGAGCGUGCCCCUCGGAACACGACCCCAGGUCAGGCGGGGCCACCCGCUGAGCUUAAGCAUAUCAAUAAGCGGAGGAGAA
rnacentral:rRNA from 1 species